CAAAGCCUUCGCACAUCAAGGAUCGGCCACGAAGGCCGCAACGCACACGGACACAUCCUCCUGACUGUGGGACUGGACAUGGCAAGGUGAGACUAGUCAAGGAACCGGUGAGGAGAAGAAAACGAGAAUGAUUCAAGAAUGGGCAAGAAUUUGUGCUACUUUGGGUUUGUAAUGUUUCACAAUUGUUCUAUGGUGUGGGAAUAGAAGUAUUUAAACAAUUAGGGGUGGAG